CUCAGGACCCCAAGAUCAGGACCUGAGCCCAAGGCAGGCACUUAAUCAACUGAGCCACCCAGAGACCUCAGGACCAACCUCUGGCCUUCGGUGUGGCCCAAGGCUAUGUCCUGUCCCCAUAUGGGCCCUGAGCAUAAGCCAUCACUGCUCACACCUACCUCAGCACAGGACAGAAGCAGGAGACACACAGAGAGAGAGAGAGAGAGAGAGAGAGAGAGAGGCAGAGACACAAGCAGAGGGAGAAGCAGGCUCCAUGCAGAGAGCCCGACGUGGGACUGGAUCCAGGGUCUCCAGCAUCAUGCCCUGGGCUGCAGGCGGCGCCAAACUGUUGCGCCACCAGGGCUGCCCGAAGGUACACUUUGUAUGCAUGAUGGGCAAGAUUCAAAAUUCACCCAUGAUAGCGAAGUUUGUCUCCCUUACACCCUGGGUUCCAGGCCACCCGCCCCCCUUCCUCAGGGCAACUACUGUCCCUCAACACCGGGAACACCCUUCCUCAAGAGCCUAGGGACUCCUUUUGACCUGCUCAUGGACAGCAGGUGCCUGGAGGGCAGGGCUAACCUAGCCCGUUCUCUGUAGGACUCCCUGGGCACAGGAGGGGUUUGAUGUGUGGGCGGACCACAGCCAUCUGAGUACCAGGCUCUCAGGGUAGUAAAAGGGAGAAUGAUGGAGCCCUAUCUGCGAAUUGGGCUCAGUUGAUUGGGUGGCUGUCUUUGGC